rnacentral:rRNA from 1 species
AUGCGGGACGUCAAUGCCGAAGAGACGAAUGCCAGAGUUGGGGCUUUCUCGCGGAGGAGCGCUGGAGCGCAGGAAUGGCAACUCGGAGAAGGACGCAACGUUGCCAAAGCCAUGAGGCUCCCGCACGCUCUCUGCGCCACCACCGACACCACCUUCACCGCCUCCGCCUCCACCGCCGCCCAUGCAACCAGAACCAGGUGGAUCGAGAAAGGCACAGAAUUUCCUAGGCUAUCUAGCAGCUCUUUGUGA